ACGAACGCUGGCGGCGUGCUUAACACCUGCAAGUCGAACGGAAAGGCCCUGCUUUUGUGGGGUGCUCGAGUGGCGAACGGGCGAGUAACACGUGAGUAACCUGCCCUUGACUUUGGGAUAACUUCAGGAAACUGGGGCUAAUACCGGAUAGGAGCUCCUGCUGCAUGGUGGGGGUUGGAAAGUUUCGGCGGUUGGGGAUGGACUCGCGGCUUAUCAGCUUGUUGGUGGGGUAGUGGCUUACCAAGGCUUUGACGGGUAGCCGGCCUGAGAGGGUGACCGGCCACAUUGGGACUGAGAUACGGCCCAGACUCCUACGGGAGGCAGCAGUGGGGAAUAUUGCACAAUGGGCGGAAGCCUGAUGCAGCAACGCCGCGUGCGGGAUGACGGCCUUCGGGUUGUAAACCGCUUUCGCCUGUGACGAAGCGUGAGUGACGGUAAUGGGUAAAGAAGCACCGGCUAACUACGUG
rnacentral:rRNA from 1 species